rnacentral:lncRNA from 1 species
CUCAAACACUUACAGGAAGAUCCUCAUUGCCAGGAGCCUCAAACGUCCUGCAGAAAAUCAAAAAAAGCAUCUGCCUCCUGUGUCCCCUCUUUCCCUGUUGUACGGCUAACACCAGAUCCCAGUCUCUUCAGUGGCACUCAACUUUUUCAAGUCACAAGAUGGAAGCGCUUUGGAAGAGGAGUAAAGGACCUGGACUCUGAUUCCAUGCCACCGCAAACUCGGGCAGGCACUUCAAAGCAGAGAGUCUCAUUUUCCACUUCUGAAAAACACAUGGUCUAGAUGAGCUCUAAGUCCUUUGCACUCAAUAAUUUCACAGUCUUUUUUAUUAUUAAUAUUAUUUUCAAUUGAAAAAUCAUAAUUGUAUAUUUAUGGGGUACAAUGUGAUGUUUUGAUAUAUGUAUUCAAUAAGGAAUUAUUAAAUCAAGAUAAUUAACAUA